rnacentral:rRNA from 1 species
GAUGAACGCUGGCGGCGUGCCUAAUACAUGCAAGUCGAGCGGACAGACGAGGAGCUUGCUCCUCUGUCGUUUGCCGCGCACGGGUGAGUCACACGUGGAUCACCUACCUAUAAUACUGGGAUAACUUCGGGAAACCGGAGCUAACACCGGAUAAUAUAUUGAACCGCAUGGUUCAUUGGAGAAAGACGGUUGUGCUGUCACGUCUAGCUGGAUCCCCGCCGCAUUAGCUAGUUGGUAAGGUAACGGCCUACCAAGGCUACGAUGCGUAGCCGACCUGAGAGGGGGGUCGGCGACCUGGGAAGGGAAACGGGGACCAGGGUACUGCGGGAGGCAGCAGUAGGGAAUGUGCCGCAGUGGGCGGGAGCCUUACGCAGCAGGGCGGCGUGAGAGAUGAAGGCGUUCGGAUCGUGAAGCUGUGUUUCGAGGGAAGAACCAAUGUGGAAGGAACUGUGCAGGUCGUGACGGUACCGGGUCAGAAAGCACCGGCUAACUACGUG